CAUCCUUCCACAAAGAACAGUGGCCUCCAGCCCGGCUCGACGUCUUCAUUCAUUCAUUCCUCACGUGGCACGUAGGUUGUGCACCCAUGAAGCCGGGCUUGGUGCUAUGAUGACUAACCUAGCCCUCGUGACCAGAAGGAAGUGUGGACUGUAGCAGCUGUUUCAUGUCACUUCUCUCCUUUCUUUUACCUUCUCCCAACUUUUCCUUCUAUCACAUAAGAAGGACACCCAGAGUGGCUAACUUUGGGUUGUCAUGAGGGAAUGUGUUUGAAUCAACAUGAAUCCCUGAUGACACACACUCUUAAGGGACUUCAUGUGUCCCUGGUGCUGGGGAUAGAAAUUUUUCAUGUGGGUGGAAGACUAGAGAGGAUGUUGAGGGGGAAAGGUAUAGCCUGUAUCAAUGGAUUCCUGUGCCUUUGGCUUCCAGUUCCUUCCAGCCAAUGGGACCUUUAACAAGAGAUGGGAGGGCAGAGAACAAAAUCAGGGUAUUCAUUCCCGUGGCUCUUCCCUGGGAGGAGGCUGCCUUGAACUGUUAAUGUUUUACUACCAAAGGUCACUGCCCAUCUCACGGCAAUCUCUUUACACAACUCCUUCCUCCUAGGUCACAGUAAACUCACUCUCCUCAGCCUCCUGGCCUGGGAGUGGUUACAGAUUUCCCACUAUUAUUGGCCCCAGGUUUCUGACCCUCUACACUUCCCCAUCCUUUUAUAACCCCUUGUAAAUAAACUCUGUAAAUGACUCUAA